GAUGAACGCUGGCGGCGUGCUUAACACAUGCAAGUCGAACGGACGGAUUGGAGCUUGCUCCAUGAAGUUAGUGGCGGACGGGUGAGUAACGCGUGGGUAACCUGCCCUAUGCAGGGGGAUAACAACAAGAAAUUGUUGCUAAUACCGCAUAAUAUGAGAGCUUCGCAUGAAGCACUCAUCAAAGAUUUAUCGGCAUAGGAUGGACCCGCGUUAGAUUAGCUAGUUGGUGAGAUAAAAGCUCACCAAGGCGACGAUCUAUAGCCGGCCUGAGAGGGUGAACGGCCACACUGGGACUGAGACACGGCCCAGACUCCUACGGGAGGCAGCAGUGGGGAAUAUUGCACAAUGGGCGCAAGCCUGAUGCAGCGACGCCGCGUGAAGGAUGAAGGUUUUUUCGGAUCGUAAAACUUCUAUCAGCAGGGAGGAACCAAAUGACGGUACCUGACUAAGAAGCCCCGGCUAACUACGUGCCAGCCGCCGCGGUAAUU
rnacentral:rRNA from 1 species